AGGACGAACGCUGGCGGCGUGCUAAUACAUGCAAGUCGAGCGAACAGAAGGGAGCUUGCUCCCGGAUGUUAGCGGCGGACGGGUGAGUAACACGUGGGUAACCUGCCUGUAAGACUGGGAUAACUCCGGGAAACCGGAGCUAAUACCGGAUAGUUCCUUGAACCGCAUGGUUCAAGGAUGAAAGACGGUUUCGGCUGUCACUUACAGAUGGACCCGCGGCGCAUUAGCUAGUUGGUGGGGUAAUGGCUCACCAAGGCGACGAUGCGUAGCCGACCUGAGAGGGUGAUCGGCCACACUGGGACUGAGACACGGCCCAGACUCCUACGGGAGGCAGCAGUAGGGAAUCUUCCGCAAUGGACGAAAGUCUGACGGAGCAACGCCGCGUGAGUGAUGAAGGUUUUCGGAUCGUAAAGCUCUGUUGUUAGGGAAGAACAAGUGCGAGAGUAACUGCUCGCACCUGACGGUACCUAACCAGAAAGCCACGCAAUACG
rnacentral:rRNA from 1 species